GUUGGUAGGGUGAGUAAGGUUCGUAGGGUAAGUAGGAUUAAGGUUAGCAGGGUUAAGGUCAAGGUUAGAAGGGUUAAGGUUGGCAGGGUGGGUAGGGUUAGGGUUAAGGUUAGUCAAGGGAGGAAGUUGAUGCGGGGACUUCCUGUCGAGUGGAGCCGGUGUGGCGCCGGGCCAGGACUCCCUGACCCCUCUGACCUUUCCCUGACCCCUCAGCUCCACUGAAGGGCACUGGCUGGUGGGUGUGGUCAGACACCGCAGAACAUUGCGGGGGAUUGGAGGGGUGUUUGGGGGGCGGGGCCGUGAAGGAGAAGGCGGGACUUCCUUUGCCCGCUCCAACACUGAGAUUAUGUCCUUCACGCUUCCAAACAUAUCUGACCAAUCAGCUUUGUCCAUCCAACUGAUCAAGUUGAUGCAAUCUGAUACCGAUCACAACGUCACUCCGGUGGUCAGCCAAUGGCAGUCGUCCUGCGAGAGCUUAUCCACUUUUUUUUGUUCUUUUAAACCGUGUAUAGCGAUCACAAAUAGUCCACUUGUUUAGUUUUAACCGACCAUGUGCAGCGAUCAGAAAAUAGUCCACUAGUUGGGUUCAGUCAGACCAGAUUUAGCAAUCACAAAUAUUCCACUGCUUUAGUUCUGUCAGAACCAGUUGUAGUGAUCACAGGUAAUCCACGAGUUUUGCAGCCAGACCAGAUUCAACAAUCAAAGAUAAUCCACUAGUUAAGUAGUCAUGCCAGAUACAGCCAUCACAUGUAGUCCCCUUGUUAGAUAAUCAGACCAGUCGCAGCAAUCACAUGUAGUCCUCUGGUUAGAUAGUCAGACCAGACGCAGCAAUCCCAGAUAAUCAUCUAGCUGGGUUGAGAGGUCAGAUGCAGCGAUCACAGAGCCUUCCCACACGCUGACUUCCUCUUUUGUGAUUGGUCCAAAUACAUUCCAACUGACCCUGUGCCGCAUGGGUCGGCCAAUAGGAGAGUUGCUCCCACUCGCAAAAAAACGUGACUCUCGUGUCAAAAACCUC
ensembl:lncRNA